UCUUAAGUCUGAUGUGAAAGCCCCCGGCUCAACCGGGGAGGGCCAUUGGAAACUGGGAGGCUUGAGUAUAGGAGAGAAGAGUGGAAUUCCACGUGUAGCGGUGAAAUGCGUAGAGAUGUGGAGGAACACCAGUGGCGAAGGCGACUCUUUGGCCUAUAACUGACGCUGAGGCGCGAAAGCGUGGGGAGCAAACGGGAUUAGAAAC
rnacentral:rRNA from 1 species